rnacentral:rRNA from 1 species
UUCGGGUAGGGGGCGCCGGUCCGCUUCGGUGUGCACUGGCGGCCCAUACCUUCUUGUCGGGGAUGCGCUUUUCUGGCUUUCAGUAGUCGGACGCAGAGUCGGCGCCGUUACUUUGAAAAAAUUAGAGUGUUCAAAGCAGGCUUUCGCUUGAAUACAUUAGCAUGGAAUAACAUGAUAGGACUCCGGUUCCAUUAUGUUGGUCUUCGGGACUGGAGUAAUGAUUAAGAGGGACAGUUGGGGGCAUUCGUAUUUCAUUGUCAGAGGUGAAAUUCUUGGAUUUGUGAAAGACGAACUUCUGCGAAAGCAUUUGCCAAGGAUGUUUUCAUUAAUCAAGAACGAAAGUUGGGGGCUCGAAGAUGAUUAGAUACCAUCGUAGUCUCAACCAUAAACGAUGCCGACUAGGGAUUGGCGGAUGCUUUUUGAUGACUUCGCCAGCACUUUGUGAGAAAUCAAAGUCUUUGGGUUCCGGGGGGAGUAUGGUCGCAAGGCUGAAACUUAAAGGAAUUGACGGAAGGGCACCACCAUGGCGUGGAGCCUGCGGCUUAAUUUGACUCAACACGGGGAAACUUACCAGGUCCAGACACAAUAAUGAUUGACAGAUUGAUAGCUCUUUCUUGAUUCUGUGGGUGGUGGUGCAUGGCCGUUCUUAGUUGGUGGAUUGAUUUGUCUGGUUAAUUCCCGUUAACGAACGAGACCUCAGCCUGCUAAAUAGUUCCCGCGAACCUUGGUUCGAGGAGGACUUCUUAGAGGGACUAUGGAUGUUUAAUCCAUGG